rnacentral:lncRNA from 1 species
AAACGGCAUAUUGAUUCUCUUUGUUAACCAACCAUGUAAGUUUGGUAGCCUGAGGCUUCAUCAAAAUGUACAUCUCUAGAACCAGUGUCCUGGAUCAAAAAUUCCAUAUGGGUUGUAGAAUAAUUUUAAAAGCAGCUAAUUCUUGUUUACAUAAGAAAAUGAGAAUGAGAAUUAAUAAUCAUCAAACACUAUGUACAAGGCACUCUGAAUGUCUUAAAAGCUUUAAAAGCUUUUCAAUAAAGCAAGUAUUACUAAUUCUAAGCUGAGACUCUGAAAUGGUUUGAAAAUUACUCAAGGUCACAAGAUUUCUAAUUGGAAGAGGUGAUAUUGGAACCUCCAUAUUUUUUACUCCAAAGCCUGCAUAGGGCAAAAAUGCACCACAUCUCAAAGUUUCACCAACAGUAGGAUUUUUUAGCAUGUGCCUGACACACCAGACCUUCCAGCUUCUUAGUCUCAUUUCUAAAUGAGACCAAAAAUCCCCUCAAAUCUUAUAUAAAACUCUGUUUUCAU